rfam:Dictyocaulus viviparus strain HannoverDv2000 D_viviparus-1.0_Cont92.24, whole genome shotgun sequence.
CUUGGCUAUGGUGAUAUGGUCCCGUCAACGAUUAUGGGUAAAAUCGUCGGUGGAAUAUGUUCACUAUCUGGUGUACUAGUUAUCGCAUUACCAGUACCGGUCAGUACCGUAAUCAUA